GGAUACACGUAUGCCUUCUAAACAGACCCACCCCUGGGCAGACACGUGGCUGGGAUGUCUUAUAAUAACAAGCUCUGAUGGAGUGGCUGGUUCCCCGCUCUAAGCCUGAAAGCGGGGCCCUGGGUGAGGCCCACGGUCUGACGCUCUCACAGCCCAGUCUGGGCUGCGUGUCCAGGCUCCAGCCCAAAGGGGCCUCCGGCAGCUCUAGGUGGGUCAGCCUCGUGUGUGCUCCACCUUGGCGUGUGUGUGCACGUCACGUGUGAACAAGCCAUGUGCACAGAUCUUUCUCCUAUGUCCUCAGCGCCCCUCCCCGGGCCCAGAUAUAAAUUAAUACUCUUUCAUCACACGGAUUGACCCCUACAUUCUGAUGAGGUUGCAAAUGCCUCCCCUCACUUAGCACAUUUAAAGGAUAUUUUAAGACUACUUCCUGCCCAAUUAGGACUUGUCCCUGGUACGCUCUGUCCUUGGCACCGGACGUUGUUGUCGGCGAUUCUACACGGAUCUCCGCACGAGGGUGGAUGUGUGGUCCCCAUGCUGGGUUGCUCAGUCAUGCCCGACUCUUUGUGACCCCAUGCACUGUAGUCCGCCAGGCUCCUUUGUCUGUGGGAUUCUCCAGGCAAGAAUGCUGGAGUGGGUUGCUGUGUCCUCCUCCAGGGGAUCUUCCUGACCCAGGGUUAAACCUGCAUCUCUUAGGUCUCCUGCAUUGGCAGGCGGGUUCUUUAGCACAAGCACCGCCUGGGAAGCCCGUAUAGUCCCCAGGUCCUCUGACUUUUCUAGAACAGUUUGAUGAGCUUCAUCCUCCUCUUCGUCUGUUUUGAGGCUGUGUGAUGUCUGCUUUUCAUGCUCAGCUCUGUGUCGGGAUGGAGUUUGUCAAAUUGACCACAGCCGACUCAACUUAUUUAUGGGAAAAAAAAAAAAAAGCGCAAGUCAUCCAGGGGCUGAUGAAGUCAGCCCGAGCACCCCUCAAGAGGGACAGCACCCUUCCAGGCUGAGCAGCAGGAUGGGUGUACGUCCACAAAUUUAAAAAAAAAAACAAAAAAACGCAGAGGUGAAGGCGGACCGCCUGAUGUCAUGAUAAAAGUCAUAAAAUGCUGAGGAUUGGGAGGGAAGAUAAAUAGGUUUCCUCCACGGAAGAACAGAUUGCUGUGACUCUGGGCUCCUGUAGAUGCCCCAGACGCUUCUGCAGAGACGUCGUCUCUAGAACGUACCCGGCUGGCUUAGCAGGAUCCUGUCCCCUGAGGACUCUAGCAGUCCCUCCUGGGGUUCCACAUCACUCUGAGUACUCAGGUCUCAUCGACAGCGAACGCGUGCAGGCGACAGGAGCGAUGAUUCUGUUUCCAGCUGGAUCCUGGGCUUCUGACCUAAGCAUGUCCCAAGUGACCUGUUCCCUGCGAGACAGCCCGUGCCGACCUCCGGGGGCCUCGUGUUCCGUCUGGACGGAGACCAUCUCCGCGGAGGGCCCUGCCCGUGGGGCCAGCCGUCCCUGUAAGAG
ensembl:lncRNA